UCAGGCCUAACACAUGCAAGUCGAGCGGUAACAGGGGUAGCUUGCUACCCGCUGACGAGCGGCGGACGGGUGAGUAAUGCUUAGGAAUCUGCCUGGUAGAGGGGGAUAGCCCGGGGAAACCCGGAUUAAUACCGCAUACGCCCUACGGGGGAAAGCAGGGGAUCUUCGGACCUUGCGCUAUUAGAUGAGCCUAAGUCGGAUUAGCUAGUUGGUGGGGUAAAGGCCUACCAAGGCGACGAUCCGUAGCUGGUCUGAGAGGAUGAUCAGCCACACUGGGACUGAGACACGGCCCAGACUCCUACGGGAGGCAGCAGUGGGGAAUAUUGGACAAUGGGCGAAAGCCUGAUCCAGCCAUGCCGCGUGGGUGAAGAAGGCCUUAGGGUUGUAAACCCCUUUCACCGGGGAAGGAUA
rnacentral:rRNA from 1 species